rnacentral:lncRNA from 1 species
GUGAUCCUCCCACCUCAGCCUCCUGAGUUGCUGAGACCACAAGCACAUGGCACAACAUCCAGCUUUUUUUUUUUUUCUUUGCUUUUUUUUUUUUUUUUUUUUUUAGAGAUGGCAUCUUUCUUGCCUAGGCUGGUCAUCCACUUAAACAGUUCAUAGGCUGGCCAUGGUGGCUCACACCUGUAAUGCCAACACUUUGAGAGGUCAAGGCAGGAGGAUUGCUUGAGUCCAACAGUUUGAUACUAACCUGGGUAACAUAGCAAGACUCCUUCUCUACAAAGAAUAAAAAAUUAGCUGGGUGUGGUGGUGCAUGCCUAUGGUCCUAGCUACUUAGGAGGCUGAGACGGAAGGAUUGCUUGAGUCCAAGAGGUCAAGGUUGCAGUGAGCUGUGAUCAUGCCAAUGCCCUCCAGCUUGGGUGACAGAGCUACACCCUGUCUCAAAAAAAAUUUUUUUUAAAUAAAUAAACAGUUCAUCACCACCACCUGAUGAGGUAAGUACCAUUGUUAUCCCCAGAGACAGGUUAACUGAAUUCAUUCAAGACUACUUGGGCAAAAAAGCAGCAGAAACCAUUUUCACUCAAUCUAAUGUUCACUGUUCAGUCUUCCUCUUACUGGACCUGCCAGCGGCACAGACAGAGCUGAUCACUCUCCUCUUUAAGCACUUUCUUUGCUGGGUUGCCAGGACACCACAACCUACUGACUCUCCUCCUCCUUCACUGGCCAUUCCUUAAACUUCUUCUCAUUAUCCACCUUUUAAUGCCAGAGCGACCCAGGACUCUCAAUUCUCAAACUUUCCUGUCUAUACGCUCUCCUCCUGGUCAUCUCAAUGGGUCUCAGCACCUUAAAUAAGAGCCUGAACCUCUUCCCUGAACUCAAGGCUCAUAUUUUCAGCCACCUCCUUGACAUCUCCGCUUGGAUGUCUAAUAGACAUUCCCCUUUUAACAUCAUGCCAUGCCAAACUCCUGAUGUUCCCCUAGUGCUCCACGCCUGAAGCUCCUACAGGCUUGCUCAUCUCAGGAAACAGUAACUCCAUCCUCCAAGAUGGAGUUUUCUCUUUCCCUCAUAUCCUCUGCCCAAUUCAUGAGCAAACCCUGUUGGCUCAAUCUUAAAACUACAUCUGAAUUCUAACUACUUCUCCCUGCUCCCACCACUGCCAUCUGAGCCUACCUCAUCUCCAUCUGGAUGACUACAAUAGCCUGGGAGCUGAUGCUUCCCUUGCCUUACUUGCCUGCUGGGAACAGAAAAUGCAUUAAUAUGACCACACUGAAGUCUUUCCGUUGAGAUUGUCAUAGUAAAGAUGAAUUGUUUGUUAUAUUUGUCUCUCAAAUAUUUCAGGAAAAAGUUGUUUCUUCCAUGUUACGUUAGUUCUGAAUAUUUAAAUUGCUUUCUAUUAUGAAAACCUGUAUUAACAAAUGCAAGGUCCUUGAAAAAGUAUUCUAUUGUUGCCCUUGACUCUGAAAUGAAUUAGAGUUCUGUGUGGGCAAAAAUAUUAGCCCAGCUCUUAAAGGUCCAUGGAAAAUGUUGUUUGCUUUCUUCAAAGCUUAAAAGCUUCCUGUUAAUCAUCAAAAUAAGAUAUCUCCACUGCAGGCAUUUGUUACUUGAAGACGAACAGAACAGAAUCAGCACCUAUAUAAAAACCACACUGACAAUAUCUAAUAUUUUAGAAAAAAUGAAAUCUGAUGGUCCUGUUAACAAUCAUGGUAUUUUCUAAACCCCUGCCUCCUUUUUUGUUGUUAUUUUUUGUUUAGUCAGGGUCUUGCUCUGUCACCCGACUGGAGUGCAGUGGUACCCGCAUAGCUCACUGCAGCCUUCAACUCCGGCCUCUGCCUCCUGACCCUACUGCCUCAGCCUCCUGAGUAGCUAGGACUACAGGCACACACCAUCACAUCCAUUUUUUUUUAAUUUUUUUUUUUAGAAAAGGGGUCUUGCUUUGUUGCCCAGGCUGGUCUUGAACUUCCAGCCUCAAACCAUCCUCCAGCCUCAGCCUCCCAAAGUAAUGGGACCAAAGGUAUGAGCCACUGCACCAGGCCUCAACUCCUUUCUUUACUACAGUCCCCAAAAACCAGAGGCCUGGAUUCAGUGCCUCUAAAACUCCUUUCUGCUAGUUUGGCUCCAGCGCUCAGCACAUGCACUUCCCAAGUCGUUGUUUUCUUUGAUCUCCUUAGACUCUCUGCCUCCUAGAGAAUCUAAUCCACAUGAACUGCGCUCCUGGAUCUUUUACAUAACUGUGGUUUUUCACAAGGUUCUUUAAACAAAGGUCCACGUGAUAGAUUUCUGCUCAAGCUUAGUUCCAGGAAACGUUUGGUUUCUGCAGAUGUUUACAUGCUUCCGGCUGUCAGCACAUGAAAACAAUAUAAUUCUGUUUCUUUUCCUCACUUUAGCAACUGGAGAGCAUAAAAUCAAAUAUAUUGUUCAAAUCUGUUCAACACUGGUAUAUGGAAAUACUUAAUCCUUAAACUUUUUUUUAGGUGAGGUUGGUUUUAUUUUUUAUUAUUUUGCCUUUUGGCCUAAAUGUGGUAAGUGGUUUCAGAAACAUGAAAAGCUAUAAAAUGUAAAAUAUACAAGACAAGAACAAAAUAGAAAAAAGGCUGGGUACACUGGCUCAGUGCUUGUAAUCCCAGCACUACCGCACCCAGCCUCCACCCUCUUUAUUUAAACCCUGUUCACUAGUUUGAGUAAAAUAAUCAGAUAUGUUUUCGGUUCAAUUUCCCUAGCAACACUUAAAAGUUUGAAAUUUUUUACAAUCAACUUCAGUAAGGCUUCUUUAAACAUUAUUUUGAAAAUUAAAAACAUUUUAGAAAAGCAAGCUAAACUGGUUGUAUGACAGGUAUACAUUCUAAGUCAUUUUGAGAGGUGACACCGUGCUGGCAGCCCUCGCUUGCUCUUGGCGCCCACUCUGGCCACACUUGCGGAGCCCUUCAGCCCACCGCUGCACUGUGGGAGCCCCUCUCUGGGUUGGCCAAGGCCGGAGCUGGCUCCCUCUGCUUGCGGGGAGGUGUGGAGGGAGAGUCACGGGCAGGAACCAGGGCUGUGCGUGGUGCCCGUGGGCCAGCACGAGUUCCGGGUGGGCGUGGGCUCGGUGGGCCCCGCACUCGGAGCAGCUGUCUGGCGCCGCCAGCCCCAGGCAGUGAGGGGCUUAGCACCCAGGCCAGCAGCUGUGGAGGGUGUGCCGGGUCCCCCAGCAGUGCUGGCCUGCCAGCACUGCGUUCAAAUUCUCACCGGGCCUCAGCUGCCUCCCCGCGGGGCAGGGCUCAGGACCUGCAGCCCACCAUGCCCGAGCCUCCCCACCACCGUGGGCUCCUGCACGGCCCAAGCCUCCCCAAUGAGCGCUGCCCCCUGCUCCGCGGCACCCGGUCCCAUCGACCACCCAAGGGCUGAGAAGUGCGGGCGCACAGCACGGGACUAGAGGGCAGCUCCGCCUGCAUCCCCAGUGUGGGAUCCACUAAGUGAAGCCAGCUGGGCUCCUGAGUCUAGUGGGGACUUGGAGAACCUUUAUGUCUAGCUAACGGAUUGUAAAUACACCAAUCAGCACUCGGUAUCUAGCUAAUCUAGUGGGGACUUGGAGAACCUUUAUGUCUAGCUAAAGGAUUAUAAAUACACCAAUCAGCACGCUGUGUCUAGCUCAAGGUUUGUAAAUGCACCCAUCAGUGCUCUGUGUCUAGCUAAUCUAGUGGGGACUUGGAGAACCUUUACGUCUAGCCAGGGGAUUGUAAAUACACCAAUCAGCACUCUGUGUCUAGCUCAAAGUUUGUAAAUGCACCAAUCAGCACCCUGUGUCUAGCUCAAGGUUUGUAAAUGCACCAAUCAGUGCUCUGUGUCUAGCUAAUCUAACGGGGACUCGGAGAACUUUUGUGUCUAGUUCAGGGAUUGUAAAUGCACCAAUCAGCACCCUGUCACAACAGACCAAUCAGCUUUCUGUAAAACAGACCAAUCAGCUCUCCGUAAAAUGGACCAAUCAGCAGGAUGUGGGUGGGACCAGAUAAGGGAAUAAAAGCAGGCUGCCCAAGCCAGCAGUGGCAAUCUGCUCCAGUCCCCUUCCACGCUGGAAGCUUUGUUCUUUCACUCUUUGCAAUAAAUCUUGCUGCUGCUCACUCUUUGGGUUUGCACUGCCUUUAAGAGCUCUAACACUCACUGCAAAGCUGUAACACUGCAGCUUCACUCCUGAGGCUGGCGAGACCACGAACCCACCAGGAGAAAUGAACUCCAGACGGGAAGAAUAAACAACUCCAGAUGCACCACCUUAAGAGCUGUAACACGCACCGCCAAGGUUUGCAGAUUCAUUCCUGAAGCCAGCAAGACCACGAACCCACCAGAAGGAAGAAACUCUGAACACGUCCGAACAUCAGAAGGAACAAACUCUGGAUACACCAUCUUUAAGAACUGUAACACUCACCACGAGGGUCCAUGACUUCAUUCUUGAAGUCAGUGAGACCAAGAACCCACCAAUUCUGGACACAAUUUCAUUUGGUGAGCAGUCCAGAUUACAUGUGUGUACACUGUAAUGAUCAGCUAAGGACUGACUGCUUUUAGCUCCUUCACCCGUUCUCACCUCUGAGGUUCAGUAAUAAAUGGCUCCUACCAACUAACUGAAGUAUCAAUCAAAAUCUUAAAGGUAUUCAUUCAUUAUACGGUAUUUACACCCCCCUUAAAAUGCAAAAUUUAUAGUUUUAUUAAUACAAACAUCCAGACAAGAAAAUAAGCAGACUAGCAAGAUAAAACCAGAGCCUUCAAAAAUUACACAAAGCAUACAAAUAUGUAGGCCAAAUGGUUAAAGUGAGCCAUAAACUUGGCCCUACACUCUAGUGACAAAGCAAAAAGGGAAAAAUGAUCAGUUACAAACUGGACAUGAUCAGAGGGUAAAUUUCAGGGAAAAUAAAUUUCUCCUGGUACUCAAAUCUAAGAAAUAUUUCUCUAGUGGAUCAUUCUAUACAUGAUACACUGGGGUCUUCAAUAAUGUCCCUGAAAGAUAUGCUGAUUCUUAUUGCAUAUAGCAUAUAUAGUAAAAACAUAAUGCUCUCUGAUAAGGUGGAUAAAUUUUAAAAAUAAAGCCUAGAAAGUCUGUUCAACAGAACUUUCUGUAAUGAUGAAGAUGCUCCAUAUCUACACUGUCAAAGAUAGUAGCCAUUAGCCACAUAUGGCUAGUAAGCACUUGAAUUAUGGCUGGUAUGACUAAGAAACUGAAUUUUAAUUGUAUUUCACUUUAAUAGCCAUAUUACAGCAGCAAAUAUCUACCCACUGGACAGUACAGGUCUAAAACAUUAGUUAUCAAACUUUUUUUUUUAGCAGUGGAACCAUUUUGGGGUUGGCAAACAUAUAUAGAAUCUAACACAUUAAAAAAGAUAGUAUAGUAUAUAUACUUGUAAGUUCAAUCUAAAAUAUUUAUAGUCAAUGAAAAUAUGAGUAUUCCAAUAAAUAUUAGAAAUCGAGGAUUUUAAGUGAGAGUUAUGAAGUUAGAUCAACCCCAGGAACCACUUUUAUUUCUGUAUUUUGUUUGGAUGCACUGCAGUGCCCACGUGGGACUUCUAAUUACACAUUCUGAGCUACUCAGUUACCAAGGCCACAAUCAGCAGCCAUUUAUCUACUCAGGAAGCAUAGAAGAAAACACAGCAUGCCAACAGGGCGGUUUCAGGUGUUUCUCUUCAUGGAAGGAGCCCCCACAUGAGCCCACACGGCCAUCCAGGAGCUAUUCUCUCUGGCAUCCAGCUGACAGCUCAGGGGCAAGGAAAUGAAAAUCACAAGGGUGGGCCCAGGUACCAUGCUGGUUUGGUGCCACUCUGGGAGGCCGAGGUGAGUAGAUCACUUGAGGUCAGGAGUUUGAGAUCAGCUUAGCCAACAUGGUACAACCCUGUCUCUACUAAAAAUACAAAAAUUAGCCAGGUGUGGGGUGGCGGGCAUCUGUAAUCCCAGCUACUCGGGAGGCCGAGGGAAGAGAAUCGCUUGAACCCGCGAGGUGGGGGUUGCAGUGAGCCAACAUUGCACCAUCGCACUCCAGCCUGGGCAACAGAGCAAGACUCUGUCUCAAAUAAAACAAAAUAAUAUAAAAUAAAAUCACAAGGGUGGUGCACAGACAUGCUGGCUUAGAAACUUUGUGCCCCAAGCAGAAACCAAAUAUCAUAUAACGGUGCUAGUCACGGCGUCCAAGGUUCCCACAAAGGACAUACCCAUUUCUGAAAAGUCAGUACUUCUGGGGAAGCUACAGCUUCUAAUCAGGAAUUUAGAGUUCACUUACAGUUCCUCCCAGUCCAGAUAUGUUUACCAAACAGAGGUCACUUUCACCACAACAAUGUUGCCUGGUAACAUGGUGAACAUUUCCCUUUUACCAGGGGUUCAGGAGAACUGAGUAGAGAGUUAAUCUAAGGUCAGAUUUGUCCUUAAAAAAAUGAAAAAUGGUUUGUUAACUCUUUUUUUUUUUGAGACAGAGU